ACGCUGGCGGCGUGCUUAACACAUGCAAGUCGAACGAUGAAGCCGGAGCUUGCUCCGGUGGAUUAGUGGCGAACGGGUGAGUAACACGUGAGCAAUCUGCCCUUGACUCUGGGAUAACUGCGGGAAACUGUAGCUAAUACCGGAUACGACACCUUGGGGCAUCCCAGGGUGUGGAAAGAAUUUCGGUCAAGGAUGAGCUCGCGGCCUAUCAGCUAGUUGGUGAGGUAAUGGCUCACCCAAGGCGACGACGGGUAGCCGGCCUGAGAGGGUGACCGGCCACACUGGAACUGAGACACGGUCCAGACUCCUACGGGAGGCAGCAGUGGGGAAUUUUGGACAAUGGGGGCAACCCUGAUCCAGCCAUGCCGCGUGAGUGAAGAAGGCCUUCGGGUUGUAAAGCUCUUUCGGCCGGGAAGAAAUCGUAUGGGUUAAUACCCUGUGCGGAUGACGGUACCGGCAUAAGAAGCACCGGCUAACUACGUG
rnacentral:rRNA from 1 species